UACGUAGGGGGCUAGCGUUGUCCGGAAUCAUUGGGCGUAAAGCGCGUGUAGGCGGUCCGGUAAGUCCGCUGUGAAAGUCGAGGGCUCAACCCUCGAAUGCCGGUGGAUACUGUCGGGCUAGAGUACGGAAGAGGCGAGUGGAAUUCCCGGUGUAGCGGUGAAAUGCGCAGAUAUCGGGAGGAACACCAAUGGCGAAGGCAGCUCGCUGGGACGGUACUGACGCUGAGACGCGAAAGCGUGGGGAGCAAACAGG
rnacentral:rRNA from 1 species